GUAUCAGUGAAUUCUGAGGCAGUGAGGGUUGUUGGACAGAUUUACCAUCGUCGGAAGAGCCACAAACUGCUGAUAAGGAUUUUCUCAACAAAAUUGGUUGGUUCAUUAAUCUGUACAAGAGAAGCAAUUUAUCUCAUGAAAUUC